GACGUAGGUGGCGAACGUUAUCCGGAAUUAUUGGGCGUAAAGGAUGCGUAGAUGGUGUAGUAAGUUAUCGGUGGUAAAUCGAGGCUCAACCUCGUGGAAGUCGGUGAUACUGUUAUGCUAGAGGAUAGGAGAGGUUAACGGAACUCCCUGUGGAGCGGUGAAAUGCGUAGAUAUAGGGAAGAACACCAAUAAAGGCGAAGGCAGUUAACUAUUCUAUUCCUGACAUUGAGGCAUGAAAGCGUGGGGAGCAAAACGG
rnacentral:rRNA from 1 species